rnacentral:rRNA from 1 species
GACGUAGGGCGCAAGCGUUGUCCGGAUUUAUUGGGCGUAAAGAGCUCGUAGGCGGCCUGUCGCGUCGACCGUGAAAACCCGCAGCUCAACUGCGGGCUUGCGGUCGAUACGGGCAGGCUGGAGUUCGGUAGGGGAGACUGGAAUUCCUGGUGUAGCGGUGAAAUGCGCAGAUAUCAGGAGGAACACCGGUGGCGAAGGCGGUUCUCUGGGCCUUACCUGACGCUGAGGAGCGAAAGCGUGGGGAGCGAACAGG